AGUGAACGCUGGCGGUAGGCCUAACACAUGCAAGUCGAACGGCAGCACAGUAAGAGCUUGCUCUUACGGGUGGCGAGUGGCGGACGGGUGAGGAAUACAUCGGAAUCUACUUUUUCGUGGGGGAUAACGUAGGGAAACUUACGCUAAUACCGCAUACGACCUACGGGUGAAAGCAGGGGAUCUUCGGACCUUGCGCGAUUGAAUGAGCCGAUGUCGAAUUAGCUAGUUGGCGGGGUAAAGGCCCACCAAGGCGACGAUCCGUAGCUGGUCUGAGAGGAUGAUCAGCCACACUGGAACUGAGACACGGUCCAGACUCCUACGGGAGGCAGCAGUGGGGAAUAUUGGACAAUGGGCGCAAGCCUGAUCCAGCCAUACCGCGUGGGUGAAGAAGGUCUUCGGGUUGUAAAGCCCUUUUGUUGGGAAAGAAAAGCAGCAGGUUAAUACCCCGCUGUUCUGACGGUACCCAAAGAAUAAGCACCGGCUAACUUCGUG
rnacentral:rRNA from 1 species